rnacentral:rRNA from 1 species
CCUACGGGUGGCAGCAGUGGGGAAUAUUGCACAAUGGGGGAAACCCUGAUGCAGCGACGCCGCGUGGGUGACGAAGUAUUUCGGUAUGUAAAGCCCUAUCAGCAGGGAAGAAGAUGACAGUACCUGACCAAGAAGCCCCGGCUAACUACGUGCCAGCAGCCGCGGUAAUACGUAGGGGGCAAGCGUUAUCCGGAUUUACUGGGUGUAAAGGGAGCGUAGGUGGCAUGGCAAGCCAGAAGUGAAAACCCGGGGCUUAACCCCGCGGAUUGCUUUUGGAACUGUCAGGCUGGAGUGCAGGAGGGGCAGGCGGAAUUCCUAGUGUAGCGGUGAAAUGCGUAGAUAUUAGGAAGAACACCAGUGGCGAAGGCGGAUUACUGGACGAUAACUGACGGUGAGGCGCGAAAGCGUGGGGAGCAAACAGGAUUAGAUACCCCAGUAGUC